CAGCAGGCGCGAAAACUUUACAAUGCCGGCAACGGCGAUAAGGGAACCUCGAGUGCCAGGUUACAAAUCUGGCUGUCGUGAUGCCUAAAAAGCAUUGCAUAGCAAGGGCCGGGCAAGACCGGUGCCAGCCGCCGCGGUAACACCGGCGGCUCGAGUGGUAACCGUUAUUAUUGGGUCUAAAGGGUCUGUAGCCGGCCGGAUAAGUCUCUUGGGAAAUCUGGCAGCUUAACUGUCAGGCUUUCAGGAGAUACUGUCUGGCUCGAGGCCGGGAGAGGUGAGAGGUACUUCAGGGGUAGGGGUGAAAUCUUGUAAUCCUUGAAGGACCACCAGUGGCGAAGGCGUCUCACCAGAACGGACCUGACGGCAAGGGACGAAAGCUAGGGGCACGAACCGGAUUAGAUACCCGGGUAGUCCUAGCCGUAAACGAUACUCGCUAGGUGUCGGCCACGGUGCGACCGUGGUCGGUGCCGUAGGGAAGCCGUGAAGCGAGCCACCUGGGAAGUACGGCCGCAAGGCUGAAACUUAAAGGAAUUGGCGGGGGAGCAC
rnacentral:rRNA from 1 species